rnacentral:lncRNA from 1 species
GUGGGAUGCGGAUUCUUUACUUGGCUAGAAGGACAUUUACUCCCCCCCAACAUCCCCGGCCCAGGGUCCCCCCCGCCCCCGCGGGCAAAGACCGAGCUGCAGGUUCUUUCCGGAAAUUUUGCGCUGGCCCCCGCGGGUCGCCGAGCUGCUGGAGCCCUUGGCGCCCAGCCUGGGCGAGCUGCUGGCCAGGCCCGAGGCCCUGACCCCGAGCAACCUGUGCCUGCUCGCGGCCGUGGCGGCCGGGGCGGCCGCGAGCGCGACCCUGCUGGCGGGGGUGUUCAUUCGGUGGUACCUAAGUGGCAGCUGACAAAGGUCUCUGUUUCUGCCCCCCCCCCCCCCAAUAAAGGAUAUGUUUUAGCUCCAGAUUCCUUUCUCUGGAGGUGGUGGCUGGGCGGGGGCUGGGGGCGGGAGUCAGGCGGCGCCCCAAGACCCGCCUGCCAGCAGGAGCAACCAGAGUCCUGGUUAAUUCCUCCUGCUCCACCAAGCCGAGCCCUUGCGAUGCGGCCGCCCUCCCUCCCUCGGGGCCCAGCCGCGGCCAGCUCUGCGCAGGCUCCCCGUGGCAGCCCCUCGGCUGGCCGCCUCCCACUGCAGGCCGGUCUGCGCAGUGCGGCGGGAGCGCUCUCUCCCUUGUGGCGGGGCGCGGCGCGGCCUCACGUCCUCCAGCGGCUCCCUGUGACCGCUGGAACCGAAUCGGGUUCCUUGCCGCAGCCUUCGGGGCCCUGUGAGUCCUGAGCGGUGCUGAGCUCCCUGGCCUCGGUCAGUGCCCCUGUCGCCUCUGACCUUUCCACCUUGGGGUUCCUCCGGAUCGCGCUCUCUCUCCAGGGUCCCGACAGAUACAGUUUCCUGCCUAGGAUUUUAUAUAUAUGUAUAUAUAUAUAUUAAUUCAAUGAUGAACUCCCUGGAGCAGCCAUCACAAUUCAUUAACCCAGUUAAUCCCCAUAACGACUCCGGAGGCCAGCCCUGUGUUUAUUCCCUUGGCCUCAUCUCCUGGCUACUUCGAUGCCCCUCCUCCUUUUUUUUUUUUUUUUUUUUGGUUCUUUAUCAUGCAAACCUCAGCGCCAUUCCCCUCUGCUCUAAACUUCAACUUCAAGGACCCACCUUCCUCUCCUUGCCCAGGUCACAGCUCACCUGUGGCCUUCUGGGCUUGUGAGUGUUUGACCCCCUUUUGGCCUGUUUGUGAGGCUCUGUCCAGACCCACUGUCCACUGGGUGUUUGUUUGCUUCUUGUCUUCCCUGCCUAAAAGGGGGAGCGCCUCCUGCAUCUGCUCACUCCUGUAGGCUGACGCCGCCCCCUUCGGCGAUGUGUUCAUUCACAGAAUAUUUUUCGAGCACUUAGUGUGUGCCAGGCAUUUUUUAAAAAAGAUUAUUUGAAAGGCAGAGUUAUGGAGAGACUUAAUGAGAGAGAAAGAGAUUUGACCCACUGGGUUACUCCCCAGAUGGCUGCAACAAACCCAGGGCUGGGCCAGGUUGAAGUCAGGAGCCAGGAGCUCCAUCCAGGUCUCCCACAUGGGUAGCAGAGCCCCAAGCACUUAGGCCAUCUUCUGCUGCUUUCCCAGGCACAUUAGCAAAGGGCUGGAUUGGAAGUGGAGCAGGUGGGACUCCAACCAGUGCCCGUAUGCGAUGCUGGGACUGCAGGCAGGGCUUAACCUGCUGCACCACAGCGCCAGCCCUGCCAGGCAUUUUCUUUCUCUGUGUGUGUGUGUCUGUGUGUGUGUUUUUAAGAUUUAUUUUAUUUAUUUGAAAGAUAGAGGUGCAGAGAGGUAGAGACAGAGAGGUCUUCCAUCUGCUGGUUCACUCCCCAAACAGCUGCAAUGGCUGGAGCUGAGCCAAUCUGAAGCCAGGAGCCAGGAGCUUCUUCCUGGUCUCCCACGUGGGUGCAGGGGCCCAAGGACUUGGACCAUCCUCUACUGCUUUCCCAGGCCAUAGCAGAGAGCUGGAUCAGAAGUGGAGAAGCGGAGACUUGAACUGGCACCCAUAUGGGAUGCCAGCGCCACAGCCAGGGCUUUAACCUGCUGUGCCACAGCACUGGCCCCACCAGGCAUUUCCAGGUGCUGUAACAGAAGUCAGAUUAUACAGAAAAUGGUACCAUCACGCCUGUUAGAUUCUAGUGGACGGCACAGGAGCACUGCUGGCUCCAAGUGUGGGAGGUCCCCUCCUUCCCCCGCCAUGAACUGAUUUAACAGCUGUCCAGACACCAACCGAGUGUCCUAUAUUCAAUUUAACUCUGAAACCAACCACCCGGGGUCAGUGUCAAAUCCACAGGUCUGGGGGCCUCACACCAGCUGCGGUACCCAGUAGUGGGUUCCAAGGGCACCCGCAUGUCUCUCUGACAUAGUUCCAAAGUCGGGGGUUCUCACAGCGGUGACUCAUGUCACUUGGCAACACUUGCUUACAUGUUCUGGUGGAUCAUAAAAGCUUUUUCUAAAGGCACUGGUUGAAUAGACAGAAGAAGACACACACAGGACAAGGUUGAAAAGCAUGCCCCGUGCAGGUGUGCUGAGCCUGUCCCCGCUGGCCAUGCCAGUCGCACGUGGCCUUGAAGCCCACGACAGGUGCUCAGAGCAGCCGAGGGUCUGAACUGAUAAUCUUGGGUAGUUACAACCAGUCAGCAUUGAAAUAGCUGCUGCUCUGUGCCACCAGCGGUUGUGGAAGCACACAUUGGGGUCUUCCUAACUCGGUCACAGUUUGGCCUGGAAACAAUGUUGCAGGUGCUUGGCACAUGAUUGGCUGAAUGAAUGAAUGAAUGAAUGAAAUACUCCCACGUGGUGGUGGCUGCCCUCAUGGACAGUCACACUGUAACAUUCUUGAGCUGAGCAGCUUGGGGGAUGCACCUGUGUUUACUGAGAUAGGGGGCCGGUUAGAGGGGCAGGGCUCACAGGGACUGGGGAAGGAGCGAUGAGGAGUGUGUCCAAGGGAACAUGUCCGGAAGUAUUGGGAUGUGCAAGGGUGGGAGUCCCGUCUCCAUGGAGCCCCAACACUGGGUGCACAGGUGACACGGGGAGCCGGGAAGGUGGGAGGAGAGUUCUCCAGUGGUGAGAAGCCUCAGGGAGAGGAACCGGGACAAAAAGCCGGGGUAGGCAGAAAGCAACCCCUCGGGCAUUCUGAAAGCUGAAGGAAGGAAGCUUAUGAAAGAGAAAGGGACUGCACGGUCCCGCACUGCUGAGUCACGGACCGGAGGGCCUGAGAGGUGCUGGUUCGUUUCAGUGACCCUAACCCUAACCCUAUCAUUGUGACCAUAGUGGUGGUGGUGGUGGGGGAGUGCAACCAUGGGAUUGGCAUAGGUGUAGGAGCCAAGGGGAGGACCUGGCAUGUGGCAUAGCUGGCAAACUCAGCAUCCCAUGUUGGAGCACCGGUCCAAGUCCUGGCUGCUCUGCCUCCUACCCAGCUCCUGGCUACUGUGCCAGGGAUGGCAGCAGAGGACGGGCCAAGUGUCUGGGCUCUGCCACCUAUGUGGAAGACCCAGUUGGAGCUCUGGGCUCCUGGCUUUGGCCUGCACCAGCCCCAGCCAAGUGAACCAGCAGACAGAAGAUUUUCUCUCUCUCCCUCCCUCCCUCCCUCCCUUUCCUCUCUCUCUCCCUUCUUCAAAUAAAUAAAUAUUUUUUAAAAAACA